rnacentral:hammerhead_ribozyme from 1 species
GGCCAGCUGUAGAGUCCCAAAUAGAACGAAACGCACAUCUUGGAU